rnacentral:rRNA from 2 species
GAUGAACGCUGGCGGCGUGCCUAAUACAUGCAAGUCGAACGAGUUUUGGUCGAUGAACGGUGCUUGCAUCGUGAUUCAACUUAAAACGAGUGGCGGACGGGUGAGUAACACGUGGGUAACCUGCCCUUAAGUGGGGGACAACAUUUGGAAACAGAUGCUAAUACCGCAUAAAUCCAAGAACCGCAUGGUUCUUGGCUGAAAGAUGGCGUAAGCUAUCGCUUUUGGAUGGACCCGCGGCGUAUUAGCUAGUUGGUGAGGUAACGGCUCACCAAGGCCAUGAUACGUAGCCGAACUGAGAGGUUGAUCGGCUACAUUGGGACUGAGACACGGCCCAAACUCCUACGGGAGGCAGCAGUAGGGAAUCUUCCACAAUGGACGCAAGUCUGAUGGAGCAACGCCGCGUGAGUGAAGAAGGCUUUCGGGUCGUAAAACUCUGUUGUUGGAGAAGAAUGGUCGGCAGAGUAACUGUUGUCGGCGUGACGGUAUCCAACCAGAAAGCCACGGCUAACUACGUGCCAGCAGCCGCGGUAAUACGUAGGUGGCAAGCGUUAUCCGGAUUUAUUGGGCGUAAAGCGAGCGCAGGCGGUUUUUUAAGUCUGAUGUGAAAGCCCUCGGCUUAACCGAGGAAGCGCAUCGGAAACUGGGAAACUUGAGUGCAGAAGAGGACAGUGGAACUCCAUGUGUAGCGGUGAAAUGCGUAGAUAUAUGGAAGAACACCAGUGGCGAAGGCGGCUGUCUGGUCUGUAACUGACGCUGAGGCUCGAAAGCAUGGGUAGCGAACAGG